rnacentral:lncRNA from 10 species
UUUGCUUGCUUUUUAAGCUCCUUUCUCUGAAUGAAUAUAGAUUAAAAGAGGGAUGGGACGAGGGGUGGACAGCACUAAGGGUAACUGCAUAGCAGCAAGAAUGACUCACGUCUGUGUUGCUGGUAGUUUCUGAGUUCAGGUCCUGGGUGCUGGGAGGAGACAGCUGCCUGCAGAGUGAUCUUCAGGCUCGUGUGGAAAAACCGAUAAAAUAGAAAAAGCAAUCGGAAGAAUAUAAAAAUCACUGAUAAUCCCGCCACCUAGAGAAAACUACUGUUAGUAUUUUGAGUGUAUUUCCCUCCAGCUUUUUUCUUUGUAUUUUUAGUAGAGACAGGGUGUCACCAUGUUGGCCAAGCUGGUCUCGAACUCCUGACCUCAAGUGAACUGCCUGCCUUGGCCUCCCAAAGUGCUGGCAUGAGCCCCCGUGUCUGGCCUAUGUUGACA